CAGCCGCCACGGGAAAACGAAGGGGGCUAGCGUUGCUCGGAAUGACUGGGCGUAAAGGGCGCGUAGGCGGUUCGUACAGUUGGAUGUGAAAUUCCUGGGCUUAACCUGGGGGCUGCAUUCAAUACGUGCGGGCUUGAGUGUGGAAGAGGGUUGUGGAAUUCCCAGUGUAGAGGUGAAAUUCGUAGAUAUUGGGAAGAACACCGGUGGCGAAGGCGGCAACCUGGUCCAUAACUGACGCUGAGGCGCGGAAGCGUGGGGAGCAAACAGGAUUAGAUACCCGCGUAGUCCCUGUCUCUUAUAC
rnacentral:rRNA from 1 species